UCACAGUGGACUUCCUGAGGAGGAUGAAGCAGGAGGAGCUGGCUGACCGUCUGCAGAGCAAACUUCCAGCUGCAGUUUGUCAUCGUAACCUUAAAUCUGCACUGAAGAAGAAGUUCCAGUGUGUGUUUGAGGGCAUCGCUAAAGCAGGAAACCCAACCCUUCUGAAUCA